rnacentral:lncRNA from 1 species
CAGCUCCCAGGGGCAGGCCAGCCCAGGUGUCCCCCAGAGGGCUCAGGUCCUGCCUCUGCUACCCACAAGGAGUGUGACCUGGGACAAGCCAGUGAUGGUGUGUGAGGCUUGGUGUCCUCCGAGUCAUGCCCUGGGUUGCUGUGAGGGUUAGUGAGGCAGCUCACAGGAAGACCUUGGCCUUCUUCCCAGCCCAUAUUAAGUGCUUACUGAUAGCUGUCACUGUAACCAAGGAGCACAGGCACAUGCUCCUGUCUACUGCCGGCAGGAUGCCCCCCCCCCCCGAGAUUAUGUCUGGACACAAGCAUGGCACUCCUAAAAACAAAUAUAACACAGAGUGAUGAGUUCCUCAAAAGUAGUGUCUCUGUGCAUGGCUGGUAGGAACAAAAUGGGAUGGUCAUUUUUCUUUAAACACGAUAACUUAAUUUUGUUUAUUUACUUUUUAUGUGGUGCUGAGAAUUGAACCCAGUGCCUCACACGUGUGAGGCCAGUGCUCUACCCCUGAGCCACAACCCCAGCCCGGGAUGGUUAUUUUGAAAGAUAUUUGGCAGUUUGUUAUAAAAUUAAACAUACAAUCACCACAGAAUCGAGCAAUCCCACUUUUAGAUAUUUACCCAAGGGAACUGGACCUUGUGUCCACAUGAAAACCUGCACAUGGUCUUUGAUGCGGCUUCAUUCAUAAUUGCCAAAACAUGGACGUGACUGAGACGUCCUUCAUUAGGUGAGUGGAUCAACACACUGUGGCCGCUCCAGACCGCGGGAUUGCUCAGCCCUGAAAGGAAAUGUGCUGUCAAGGCAUGAAAAGACUCGGGAAUCUUAAGUGCAUACUCACUGAAAAUGGCCCGUCGGAGAAGGUUCCGUAUUAUGUGACUCCAGCAGUAUGACGUUUUGGACACAGUAGGACUGUGGGGACAGUGGUGACAGGAUCAGCGGCUCUAGAGGUUGAGGAGAAAGACUGAUGAACAGGUGGCACACAGGGACUUUAGAGCAGUGAAUCCACUCUGAAUGACAUAAGGGGACGCGGGUCAUCGGAUGUUUGUCCAUAUCCCUCAAGAGCGGACCCCAAGGCAAAGGCUGGAUACUUGGGGGCAAGUGUCAGUGUAGGUUCAUUGGUUAUAACAGGCACCACCGUGGUGAGAGACAUGGAUAACGGGGGGCUGUGCAUGUGUGGAGGUGGAGGGCCUUCCCCUGUGGUUGGCUGGGACCCUAAAACUGCUUCAAAAAAUAGAAUCUAUUAUUAAAACAAAACAAAACAAAACCAGGUAGCAUGGCUAUGCAGAAGCCCAGUCCUCAUUUCAGAUAACGAGGCCACAAAGCACUCACUCGAGCGCCGACCCUACCUGAGGACAGCCGCACCAGGCAUGGGGUGCAGCGGGACAUGCUCUGCACCCAGGAGCCCCUAACCCUGUGCAUGGUGACACCACUAACAGGCAGUCCAGCUCAGGGGUGGAGAGCAGCCAGGCAGCACCAGGAAGCAGGGAGCUCCUGGUCCAGCCUCUGAGGGUGAGACUGGGCUCUGAAGGGAGAAGGUACCAGGCAGACAGGAUACUUUUAGACGUAUGAUACAAUGAUGAGCCUCCCUGCUUGCUGAAUCCACAGAACUUACUCUCCUGUUCUCACCACACCACGUCAGGGUGAUGUGAACUCCAUGUUAUAGGUAAGGAGCACGCGAGAGAGCAAAUAAUGGGCCCAAGGCCACAUGGCCAUAAACCAGGCUCUCUAGGUCCUCAUUUUGUCACAAGACCCUGAGCCACUGACUUCUGAUAGUCACUGACUCAGGUGAGUGGAGUGGCCUGGGAUAGUUGACUGCUCCUCUCACCUCAGUUAACGUGUCUCUGAAAGGAGACCAAUGCCUGCUCUGUAAGACUGUGAUGAGAAUUCAGUGAUGAAAGGGAUUCGAAAGUUCUAGAUCUGCAUCUGCCACUGAGAGUGGAAUGUGGACCAUAAAGGUGACCACAUUUGGGGUUUUAGGUUUUCUAGGAACUAUAUUUUAAAAAGUAAGAAGUAGGUGAAGUUCAUUUUAAUUAUGUAUCUUAUAUUUAGUAAAAAAUAAUUUUUUAUUUAACAUAUAAAAAUUAUCAUUUAAACAUGUAAUCAAUAUAAAGUUUAUUUGCAAAUUCUCUUAA